GAUGAACGCUGGCGGCGUCCCUAAUACAUGCAAGUCGAGCGAACGGACGAGAAGCUUGCUUCUCUGAUGUUAGCGGCGGACGGGUGAGUAACACGUGGAUAACCUACCUAUAAGACUGGGAUAACUUCGGGAAACCGGAGCUAAUACCGGAUGAUAUUUUGAACCGCAUGGUUCAAAGGUGAAAGACGGUCUUGCUGUCACUUAUAGAUGGAUCCGCGCUGCAUUAGCUAGUUGGUAAGGUAACGGCUUACCAAGGCAACGAUGCAUAGCCGACCUGAGAGGGUGAUCGGCCACACUGGAACUGAGACACGGUCCAGACUCCUACGGGAGGCAGCAGUAGGGAAUCUUCCGCAAUGGGCGAAAGCCUGACGGAGCAACGCCGCGUGAGUGAUGAAGGUCUUCGGAUCGUAAAACUCUGUUAUUAGGGAAGAACAUAUGUGUAAGUAACUGUGCACAUCUUGACGGUACCUAAUCAGAAAGCCACGGCUAACUACGUG
rnacentral:rRNA from 1 species